rnacentral:rRNA from 1 species
UGGGCAACCUGCCCCUCUCUCUGGGAUAACCCCCGGGAAACCGGAGCUAAUACCGGAUACUCCGGCUGGAUCGCAUGGUCCGGCCGGGAAAGGUCCGCCGGAGAGGGAUGGGCCCGCGGCCUAUCAGCUUGUUGGUGGGGUCAUGGCUCACCAAGGCGACGACGGGUAGCCGGCCUGAGAGGGCGACCGGCCACACUGGGACUGAGAUACGGCCCAGACCUCCGUACGGGAGGCA